rnacentral:rRNA from 1 species
UGGGGAAUAUUGCACAAUGGGCGCAAGCCUGAUGCAGCAACGCCGCGUGAGGGACGACGGCCUUCGGGUUGUAAACCUCUUUUAGUAGGGAAGGAGCGAAAGUGACGGUACCUGCAGAAAAAGCACCGGCUAACUACGUGCCAGCAGCCGCGGUAAUACGUAGGGUGCGAGCGUUGUCCGGAAUUAUUGGGCGUAAAGAGCUCGUAGGCGGUCUGUCGCGUCUGCUGUGAAAACCCGAGGCUCAACCUCGGGCCUGCAGUGGGUACGGGCAGACUAGAGUGCGGUAGGGGAGAAUGGAACUCCUGGUGUAGCGGUGGAAUGCGCAGAUAUCAGGAAGAACACCGAUGGCGAAGGCAGUUCUCUGGGCCGUAACUGACGCUGAGGAGCGAAAGCGUGGGGAGCGAACAGGAUUAGAUACCCUGGUAGUCCACGCCGUAAACGUUGGGCGCUAGAUGUGGGGACCAUUCCACGGUUUCCGUGUCGCAGCUAACGCAUUAAGCGCCCCGCCUGGGGAGUACGGCCGCAAGGCUAAAACUU